GUCACUUCUUGCAGCUCAAUUUUUUCGCCUCCUUGCGCCAUGUUAAGCUUCUGCCUGCAAUGCAUUAUGGUCUAUAUUGACCCGUUUAGUGACCAUCGAUGCUCACUACUUUUCAAGAUGCAUUGUGGGUAAUUUUGAGUGCCC